rnacentral:rRNA from 1 species
AACGAAAAGAGGGAAAGAGCUUGCUCUUUCCGGAAUUGAGUGGCAAACGGGUGAGUAACACGUAAACAACCUGCCUUCAGGAUGGGGACAACAGACGGAAACGACUGCUAAUACCGAAUAAGUUCCAAGAGCCGCAUGGCCCAUGGAAGAAAAGGUGGCCUCUACCUGUAAGCUAUCGCCUGGAGAGGGGUUUGCGUCUGAUUAGCUGGUUGGAGGGGUAACGGCCCACCAAGGCGACGAUCAGUAGCCGGUCUGAGAGGAUGAACGGCCACACUGGAACUGAGACACGGUCCAGACUCCUACGGGAGGCAGCAGUGGGGAAUCUUCCGCAAUGGGCGAAAGCCUGACGGAGCAACGCCGCGUGAGUGAUGACGGCCUUCGGGUUGUAAAACUCUGUGAUCCGGGACGAAAAGGCAGAGUGCGAAGAACAAACUGCAUUGACGGUACCGGAAAAGCAAGCCACGGCUAACUACGUGCCAGCAGCCGCGGUAAUACAUAGGUGGCAAGCGUUGUCCGGAAUUAUUGGGCGUAAAGCGCGCGCAGGCGGCUUCCCAAGUCCCUCUUAAAAGUGCGGGGCUUAACCCCGUGAUGGGAAGGAAACUGGGAAGCUGGAGUAUCGGAGAGGAAAGUGGAAUUCCUAGUGUAGCGGUGAAAUGCGUAGAGAUUAGGAAGAACACCGGUGGCGAAGGCGACUUUCUGGACGAAAACUGACGCUGAGGCGCGAAAGCGUGGGGAGCAAACAGGAUUAGAUACCCUGGUAGUCCACGCCGUAA